rnacentral:rRNA from 1 species
UACAGAGGUCUCAAGCGUUGUUCGGAUUCAUUGGGCGUAAAGGGCGCGUAGGCGGCGGGGUAAGUCUGGUGUGAAAUCUCGGAGCUCAACUCCGAAAUUGCACUGGAUACUGCUCUGCUUGAGGGUUGGAGAGGAGUAUCGGAAUUCACGGUGUAGCAGUGAAAUGCGUAGAUAUCGUGAGGAAGACCAGUGGCGAAGGCGGGUCUCUGGACAGUUCCUGACGCUGAGGCACGAAGGUCAGGGGAGCAAACGGG